AGACUGGCAAGUCCUAAGACGGUCCCUUCACUGCACGCACCCACGAUGACAGCACGUCUUCCAUCUGUCCCAAAGGCUCUGGCUCCGUCCUUCUCAGCCUUCAGAGGUGGAGUCCAUUUCUCUGCCCUCUGGAUUCUGGGCUGGCCUACGAUCGAUUGAACCAAUACCAAGUGGGAGAAGUGAUGCUGUGGACUGGCAGCUUCUGUUUCCUGCCUUUUGCAACUCAGUUGCCACACUGUGAGGAAGCUCACGCAGCCCCGUGGACGUCCUUAUAGAGGUUGGCUGACCCUCUAAGCUGAUGGUCCAGAGGGCGAAGACCACCUGCCCUAAGCUCCC